GUUAGAGUUGCCCAAGAAGCCAAGCAUGGGUGUGGAUAGGAGAUUGCAGAAUAUACAUGUUUUGCCCAGUUAAGUCUCUCCUGAGACAUUUCUGCCCUCCGCAACACCCUGGAUGCCCCAUCGGCGUGCUCUGCUAGCAAAAUAUGUCUGGUAUCGAGGGCAAGAGGGAUGGGGUCCUCAGGAGUACAAUUUGUGGCUGCUCUCCUGAGGAUGGAGAGCCUUGUCUGGCUCACAGGCCAUCCCAGCAGCAGUAUGCUGGAAUUCCAGAUGUGGCCUUAACCCAGGCAAAAUCACACAGGGAGUUUCCGGCCACCCAUGGGGAUGGAAGGUGGGUAUGGCCAGUGCUGUGUGCUGGCAAGGCUGGUGUAUGGAGCAAAUUCGGGUCUCAUGUAGGGGUUGCAACUCUUCCUCAGCACCAUACACCAUAGUGUUGGCUAAACUACACAGCCCCUUUUUGUUCCACCCCAUUCCCCUCAGGAAGCCUGAGCAAGGAGCGGCUGCCCCCCUGCCAGAAGCAGUUUACUGCACCCAUGUAUUUAUGCUGCAACUGAUUAAAGCUCCAAGUAAGGCAAUUACAGGGUAUGGGGUGUAUAAAUAGGAGGUGCUGUGGUGUUGCAGGCUGGGGAGAGGGGCUGCUUGACGUUGCUGGAGAGUAUCUGGGGGUGUACUUGGGGCUUGCUUCUGCCUUUCUCACACUUCCUCAUACUCAGGCUAAGGCACUGGGUCACCUUCAUGGGACCGUGACUUCCAGUAGCAAUUUGUGGUGGUCAGCACUGGACUCAUGGCUUUUUUUGUGUCCCUGAUUUAGUGCUGUCUUCCCUCCCUGGCAAGGAUGCUUGAAGCUGCUGGAAAACCUGUCCCUCCUCAUAGAGACAUCCAGGUAAAAGCGGCCCCUGGAAAACCAUGGCCAUUGCCAUGAGUUUUAAAGUCAUGUUUUUAAACAUUGCCUAAACUCCUUAGAGUUUGAGAGGUCACUACACUUUUGUUUUCAAGGACUUUAUCUCAACCUGCAACAGUG
rnacentral:lncRNA from 14 species